GGGUUAGCAGAUGGUCCAGAACUGAAGUCAGGUGUCUAAAGACUUGCACAUGAGAAAGGAUAGACGAGCCUUUAGUGAGAUAUGUUCCGGUGUGAUUUUCUAAGUAGGACUUAAGCAAUUUAUUUCAAUUCUCAUAUAGUGAAUAAUUGCAUGUAAAUCAGAAAGCAGCAAAUGCAGAACUCUUUUUCUGCACUAUAAACAACAAGAAAAAAUCACACUUUUUGUUUCAUUGGAAAAUAUUUCUUAUCAUUUUGAACUUGCUGUUCUGCUUAACUGACUUAUUUCAUUCUUAUUGACUUCCAUGGCAGUAGCACCCACAUGCUUAGAGAAUUCUCAGGCAGUGAUUUGUAUACAUGAUCAUGCAUACUCUCCAACUCAUCAUCUUGCCUGAAGUCUUACAGCGACAACAAAGAGGAAAAGAAACAUAUUUAUUAUUUUUACUCCUCAGACUGGAAAUUAAGAUCUGGAGACAUCACAGUUGGGAGUUCUACAAUUCUUAGUGCACAAAAAGAGCUGAAAAUUCAAGUUGUUUUCCGUAACAAGAAUUGAGAAAGAUACCAAGAAAAUUCAGAAGAGAGAUACAACCUCAGUGUGGAUGUUGAUGAAUACAGGCAGAAUUUAUGCGUACCCGGUGCAAUGCCUACAGUUGAUCAUGACUGCUCAAUCAAAUAAGUUACAAAAUACAAGAGAGAAGGACAGCAUUUUCACCAAUGCAAGCAGUCAAUCCAAAAGAUUGAUUAGGGUCCCAAAAAAUUUUUAAGAAGCUUUGAGAAUCAAUAAACAAUUCAUUACUUGGAUUUCA
rnacentral:lncRNA from 1 species